CAUUACAAAACCUAAUACUGACUUAGCGUCAUACUGUAAUGACACCACACACACACACACACACACACACACACACACACACACACACACACACACACACACACACACAAACAAACCCCAUCCCGUUAAAACAUCAUCAUGCAAAAAGUGGUUUUACUUUGGCACAAUUUUGAAAUAAUACUAAAUAUCAAAGGCCAAUGUAAAUGAGUAAAUGAUAAGGGAAAGUACUGACUAGCCUGAAUGUGCAUGCCUCCUUCUGUUAAAGCAUAUUACGACACAGAUAUAAGCUGUGCAUACAAAGGAUGUUCCAGCCAGGCUCCAGAUCAUGUUCCAAUCAUGCGAUCAGACAAUAUUCAACAGCAUCGUCAUGCAAUUUUAAGGAACUAGUGAAAAGCACUGAAGACACAGGAAUAUAAUGUGUAUUUUCUCUUAUGUUAUAGCUUAGUCUCAACAUCUCACUAAGGACUUCUCAAAAGCAAAGGAUUAGCGUUGCAAAAUUACAGGAAGUUUCAAAGUGGCACAAAAUACUUUUUGGAAUUCAUGGGAAUUUACAUAGAAUUUACAAUUCGGGGAGUUUAAGCACACUGAUUGCUUUUCCCCUUAUUCUUAUAUGCUUCCUGUCAUCAAUUGAGCCACAUUACUUAAAGCAUUACAAAUAAAACAGUCAGGUACUUUAACAAUGUUAGAAAAAUCAAGACUCAAGAGGCACCAAUUCUGCGUGCCUGACUAGUGUAGAACAAACCUCAAGCUCCGUAAUGAGGAGAACCUGGGCCUAACAGCCAGAGGCAGGCGGAGAAAGGAUCUGUUAUAGAACAGAUAUCUAGAGCAGAGAUGAAGAGGGAGGGAAGAGAGAUGGGAGAGGGAGGAAAGAGGGAAAGACAGGGGAAGACCGGGGGAAGAGAAGGAAAGACAGGGGAAGACCGGGGGAAGAGAGGGAAAGACAGGGGAAGACCGGGGGAAGAGAAGGAAAGACAGGGGAAGACCGGGGGAAGAGAAGGAAAGACAGGGGAAGACAGGGAAAGAGAGAAGAGAAGGAAAAUACAGGGAAAGAGAGAAGAGAAGGAAAAUACAGGGAAAGAGAGGGAAAGAAAAUCACACAGAGAGGAUGAAGAGAGGGAAAGAGGGUGAGGAGAGGGACAGAGAGUGAGAAGAGGGACAGAGGAUGAGGAGAGGGACAGGGGGUGAGGAGAGGGACAGCAGGUGAGGAGAGGGACAGCAGGUGAGGAGAGGGACAGAGGGUGAGGAGAGGGACAGAGGGUGAGGAGAGGGACAGAGGGUGAGGAGAGGGACAGAGAGUGAGAAGAGGGACAGAGGAUGAGGAGAGGGACAGGGGGUGAGGAGAGGGACAGCAGGUGAGGAGAGGGACAGCAGGUGAGGAGAGGGACAGAGGGUGAGGAGAGGGACAGAGGGUGAGGAGAGGGACAGAGAGUGAGAAGAGGGACAGAGGAUGAGGAGAGGGACAGGGGGUGAGGAGAGGGACAGCAGGUGAGGAGAGGGACAGCAGGUGAGGAGAGGGACAGAGGGUGAGGAGAGGGACAGAGGGUGAGGAGAGGGACAGAGGGUGAGGAGAGGGACAGAGGAUGAGGAGAGGGACAGAGGAUGAGGAGAGGGACAGGGGGUGAGGAGAGGGACAGAGGGUGAGGAGAGGGAAAGAGGGUGAGGAGAGGGACAGAGAGUGAGAAGAGGGACAGAGGAUGAGGAGAGGGACAGGGGGUGAGGAGAGGGACAGCAGGUGAGGAGAGGGACAGCAGGUGAGGAGAGGGACAGAGGGUGAGGAGAGGGACAGAGGGUGAGGAGAGGGACAGAGAGUGAGAAGAGGGACAGAGGAUGAGGAGAGGGACAGGGGGUGAGGAGAGGGACAGCAGGUGAGGAGAGGGACAGCAGGUGAGGAGAGGGACAGAGGGUGAGGAGAGGGACAGAGGGCGAGGAGAGGGACAGAGGGUGAGGAGAGGGACAGAGGGUGAGGAGAGGGACAGAGGAUGAGGAGAGGGACAGAGGGUGAGGAGAGGGACAGAGGGUGAGGAGAGGGACAGAGGGUGAGGAGAGGGACAGAGGAUGAGGAGAGGGACAAAGGAUGAGGAGAGGGACAGAGGGUGAGGAGAGGGACAGAGGGUGAGGAGAGGGACAGAGGAUGAGGAGAGGGACAGAGGGUGAGGAGAGGGACAGAGGGUGAGGAGAGGGACAGAGGGUGAGGAGAGGGACAGAGGAUGAGGAGAGGGACAGAGGGUGAGGAGAGGGACAGAGGGUGAGGAGAGGGACAGAGGAUGAGGAGAGGGACAGAGGGUGAGGAGAGGGACAGAGGGGGAAGAGAAGAAAAAGAGGGGAAGACGAGGCAAAGGAGGGAAAGCAAGAAAGGGAAAGGGAGCGAAUAGAAAAUCCCAGAAAGGAGAGGAUGGAUGUCAGGCAGGUUCAGAGAGCUCCAGAUAGACAAGGGGAAGGAAAGACAGUUUACAGAUACAAUUAUAGAAGAUGGAGCCACAAACGACGUGAGACACAGCUGCCAGACAGUGAUGUUUACUUCACCACUAACACUACGAUCAGCAUCAACUCACAGACAGACAGACACGAGACAAAGACAAACAGAAGAGAGACCGAUGGGAUGUACAGUUAUAUAUCAACAUGUUCCAUUGACUAAUGAGGCAACAGGUAACUAACUAGUCAACGUGAUGGGGAUGGUACCUCAAAGCAGGUGUGUGUGUGUGUAUGUGUGUGUGUGUGUGUGUGUGUGUGUGUGUGUGUGUGUGUGUGUGUGUGUGUGUGUGUGUGUGUGUGUGUGUGUGUGUGUGUGUGUGUGUGUGUGUGUGUGUGUGUGUGUGUGUUAGAGUCCUGCAUCGGGUCGGAAAGGUCUUCAAUCAAAAUAUAUAGAUUUUUUUACAAACCCAUGAGCUUGUUGUGUUGCGAAUUCCAUUCUGUGAGUGGUGAGGCAGGCAGUAGGCUACCAGCCACCCAGUGAGAGAGUGUAGAGCAGGUACUGUCUCUUUGUGUGGUGAGGCAGGCAGUAGGCUACCAGCCACCCAGUGAGAGAGUGUAGAGCAGGUACUGUCUCUUUGUGUGGUGAGGCAGGCAGUAGGCUACCAGCCACCCAGUGAGAGAGUGUAGAGCAGGUACUGUCUAUUUGUGUGGUGAGGCAGGCAGUAGGCUACCGGCCACCCAGUGAGAGAGUGUAGAGCAGGUACUGUCUAUUUGUGUGGUGAGGCAGGCAGUAGGCUACCGGCCACCCAGUGAGAGAGUGUAGAGCAGGUACUGUCUAUUUGUGUGAUGAGGCAGGCAGUAGGCUACCGGCCACCCAGUGAGAGAGUGUAGAGCAGGUACUGUCUCUUUGUGUGAUGAGGCAGGCAGUAGGCUACCGGCCACCCA